GUUGAUAACUCAAGGGAACAAUCUUAUCUUCACACUACCCCACUAACAAUUUGAAUUAACUGCAUUAACUUCCCACAAUCCCACCUACUUAUUGUAUAAACAACCAUGCCUCUUCUUUUUCCACUCCUAAAUACUUCCUAACUUCUUGCAAUUUCUCUCUCCGAAAUAUACCCUAAUUGAUUUCUUGAGUUCCUUCGGUGCCUCAAGCUUUGGGCGAAACUUGCAGAUUCCGACCGAUUUCGUCAGGUAAUUCAUUUGGGUUUUUAGAAAGAGGGGAAAGUAAGGUUAUAAGAGACAUAGUUGGCAAUGAUGAUCCACCAAGCGACUUUGUAAAGGAGGAUGUGGCCUCUUUUGUAGCUUUAGUUGGGAUGCCUAGGAGUGUGGUGGUGUACGUUCCUAUUGAGAAGGAGAGGCCUGAAGAUUUUCCACCAAGGCAUAUAGUGUUAUACUAGUAUCCUUUCAGGCUGGGAUACACCUAUUUGUUUACCCCUAUGUCAUGAUCUUUCAUGGAGGUUCAGGAUCUAACACCUGGGCAUUCUGCUUUGGUUGAGAGGGCAUAAAAGGUGAAUGUUCGCGGCUGGAAGUCGCGUUAUUUGUUUGUUGAUAGGGAGUUGCUAGAAUAAGAUGCCAGCUAGAUUCGUUGUGGUUGGCGCAACGGAGGUAUUUUUCAUAUCUUUUAUCACUCUUUACUUCGGAUUUUUAACGUGUUAUCUUAAGGCUUGUUUUGGUUUAGAGAUCGACAUUAUCAUUGAGACUCCUAGGAAGAAGGGUUUGUGCAAGGUGGAAUAUGUUUUAAGCGUUGCUAAAGAGGAUCAAACCUUCGUAUGACCUGCUGUAGUAGAAGAAGUUUAGGAAGAAAUGGCGUCUGAGACUCAAUCUGGGAAGACUAAGAAAACUGUGAUGUCCAAUGAGGAGAUGGUAGAGCGUGUAAUGUAGAAGAAAAAACGAGUUGCUUCUAACGCCGCAAAUGUUAAGGUUUUGGACAUCAAACCUCUCUAGAUGAGAAUUUUUCCUUAAGCUAAAGAGAUUCCCUCUAAGGUACCCAAAGAAUCGGACUAUGUAAAAAGAGUUCUUGCUGACUUUCUCUUGGGUGCGUCUAUGUCGCUCUCCCUUUGGCCUUCUGCUGAGAAAUUUUUGUUUCUAGGUCUUGAGAAGAGUUAGGGCAAAUGGUGCCUACUAACAUAGUUAGUGAAGCGGUUGUGUCGCUCAAACUCAAUGCUUUGCAGGAUUUGUUGGAAGUACACAGGCACUUCAAUUUUCGAGAGAAAGAGAUUAAGGGACUUCGUGCGACGAUCGUCACUAUCAUAAGCCAACUCAAAACUGCAGAAGGAAAGGUGACCAAGCUGAAAAGAAGGCCUUGGAAGAGAAGAGUAAGGAAUUUUUUGAUCUAAGUGCUUCCUUAGAGCAGAAGGAGAAAAAUGUCACUGAAUUACAGGACUUUGUGAAGGAGAAAGAGAAACAAGUUUCUUUGUUAGAGGCUUCUAUAUCUAAAGUUCGUGAGGAUACUGAGAACUCCAAGUGUCUUGAUUAGCUAACUAUUUGUGCCAAGUUUUUGAGGCGUUUCUUGCUAGUCGCCGACCACUGAAGAUGCUUAAAUGGAGGUGAAUGUCUUUUUGGCAUCCUUUAAUACUGAAGUUAAUCUAGCCUCUGAUGUUGAGGUUGCUAGAGAAGACAUCCAUUUUACUACGGACUCAUAGGAGAAGGUUGAUAGUACAGCCCCCUAAUGCUAAGAGUGUUGAUGCUACUGUCGCGAUUACGCCUGAGGUUGCUUCUAGGGUCGACGCUUAUGCUGAUGAUGGAGUUAAUGUUGAUGACGCUUGACUUUUGUUUUCUCUACCUUUUGUUGUACAGUUGAAUUUCCUUUUGCCUUGAACUGCUUAUGUUGUUAUGCACUCUUUACUAAUCAUUGUGGGACGAUUAGGUUUGUUUCCUAUUUUUGAAGUACUUUGAACAAUUUCUUAGCACUGUAAUUUUAACUAUUUGGCAUGGGAUAAUUAGUCCUUUUGCGAAAAUAUUGUAAAAAUAUUUAUGCCAUAAAUAUAUAAAAAUAU